GACCGUAGAAACAAAAAGCGCGGAUCGGAGAUUGAAUCGGGUCGGGUAAUCGGGUCAUUGGCCCUUAAACGGCGUCGUUUUGGAGCCAUUGAAGCAGGCCCUAGACGGCGUCGUUUCUUUCGCUAUACAAAACCUAUUUUGAAACCCUAAGUUAGCAGAAUCAACAAAAUCAAACGCCUCUGCCUCAAAACCAUGCUCUCAAACUGGCCGUUCUAAGAUCCUUCACUCGAUCUCCGAUUGCAAUGGAGUAAGCAAGGAAUCGAUCGCCAAGAGCCAGCUGGAGAUGGAGGCGCACAUGUGGUGGUGGCGCAGCAUGCGCGGAGGAAACGAUUGGUGGCUUCGGCGCGACGCAUGGGAACCUGGUUGCUGCACGGAAAGGUUUCUGGAGGCUUCAGAAGAAUGGGCAACUUCGAAUUGGGCCACUGUAAUUGGGUUUCGGGUUUAAUUGGACUGCUUGGGCUUCUGCUUAUUGUAAUCGGGUUUGGGGUUGAGUUGAUGUAUUUUGGGUUUGGGUUUUAGAUUUAGGCCUGCUGUUUGUAAUAAAAACUGGACAUUUUGUUUUUAUUCUAUUUAGUUUUUAUAUUUCAUUUUAA